UUCUAGCAAGUCGUUAAAACGAAAACGAACAUUUUAUUUAGAUGAGGUGAUUUUUUCCAAGCUUGAGAUUUUAAUAUCAUCGGUUUAUCGCUUAAAUGAGUUAUGUAUAGAUAGGUACCUGCCAAUAUAUUAUAUAUUCAUAAAACAAUUACAGCAGUAUUAUGUAUAGGAUAGGUAAAUGGAAGGCAAAGCAUAUAGGUAUAUUAUAGGUGGAAACCGAACAAAAAUUGGGGAUAAAACAUCAUCCGUGAGGAUAGCCUAUAUAAUAUUAUCAUCGUCGAAGUCGUCGUCGUCGUCAUCGUCAUCAUUAUUAUCAUCGUCAUCGUCGUCAUCAGCAUAAUAAUAUAUAAUAUUAUGUGUGUGGCGGCGGUGUUUAGGUAUUGUUAAAUGUCAUCUGUACCGUAGGUAUACACCAUACACGCACAUACACCUUUAUAUUAUAAUAGUAUGUAUACCUGUCACAGCUGUUAAUUAGUGACAUAUUGUUUAGCUUUUUUUCUUCUAUACAGUAGAAAUCGAAUGGAACGCAUUCGGUUGUUCACUGUCUCACGGAUAGCACACCCAUUUCCUCAAACCGUAGGGAAUAAUAUUGCAUUCGUGUACACCUAUCUGAAAUAUUAUAAAUACCUGACAUCGGUGCAAGGAUACCUACAUAUGUAUAUGCAUAUUUUUUGUUCACUAUUAACAGAGGUAUUCACUUUUUCGACCACUAUUAAUCAAGCAGUGUUCGUGAAAACAACGAAAUUAUCAUACUACGGUUUUCGAGCAUCAAUUAUAAUUACGUGACAACAAGGAGUAUACAAUAAUAUGCAUUUUGGCAACUAUUGUAUAUUUAUUGACAGAAGUCUAGAGAUUAGAGUGCUAAGUAGUAGCGCCAACGGUGAAUUGAAUUUAAAUAUGUCACCUGCG